UGGACAGCCCAGCUGCACCCAGGUGACAGUCUGGGCCCCUGGGAUGCCCUGCCAGGCAGCCUGGGCCUGCUGGGAAGCACUGCUUCCACCUGUUAGUGCUCCAGGGCUUUAAAGAAGAUUAUUUGCACAGUCAGAGAUGGAGCUACACCCUCAGUGUGUGGUAUCCAUCACCAGGGGAAAGAUGGAAUGACAGAGCCUUUCCUCACGUGUGAUCCUGCCAGAGCUGUGCUGCUGCUGCUGCUGCUGCCGCUGCUGCUGGGUGAUGUCCAUGUGGAGCGUUGUGCAGCGAGGGAUUCCUGCAGAGGAGGUGAAUUCACAACCAUCCAGCUGGGAGCAGCACCAGCAGGACACCUGACAGGGGGCCCAGAGUUUGAUAUCAAAAAUAUCAAACUAUUAUAUUUAAACUUUCAUCAAACUUUAAUAUUUA
rnacentral:lncRNA from 1 species